UUAACUAUUAUAUAGUACUCAGACGAUAUUAACAAACAGAGUUUUGGGUCCUCUGGCAGGCACGGCCCAGCCGGAGCCGGGGGUCCCGAGGGACGGGCCUGCCAAAGCAACAAAGGUAUAAUAAACAAAGGGUGGGAGGUAUACCCCGAAGGGCAACGUCUCUUUAAUGAUCCUUCCGCAGGUUCACCUACGGAAA
rnacentral:misc_RNA from 1 species